rnacentral:rRNA from 1 species
CCUACGGGAGGCAGCAGUGGGGAAUUUUGGACAAUGGGCGAAAGCCUGAUCCAGCCAUGCCGCGUGAGUGAAGAAGGCCUUCGGGUUGUAAAGCUCUUUCAGCCGGAAAGAAAUCGCGCAGGCUAAUACUCUGCGUGGAUGACGGUACCGGAAGAAGAAGCACCGGCUAACUACGUGCCAGCAGCCGCGGUAAUACGUAGGGUGCGAGCGUUAAUCGGAAUUACUGGGCGUAAAGCGUGCGCAGGCGGUUAUAUAAGACAGAUGUGAAAUCCCCGGGCUCAACCUGGGAACUGCGUUUGUGACUGUAUGACUAGAGUACGGCAGAGGGAGGUGGAAUUCCGCGUGUAGCAGUGAAAUGCGUAGAUAUGCGGAGGAACACCGAUGGCGAAGGCAGCCUCCUGGGCCAGUACUGACGCUCAUGCACGAAAGCGUGGGGAGCAAACAGGAUUAGAUACCCUGGUAGUCCACGCCCUAAACGAUGUCAACUAGUUGUUCGGUGAGGAGACUCAUUGAGUAACGCAGCUAACGCGUGAAGUUGACCGCCUGGGGAGUACGGCCGCAAGGUUAAAACUCAAAGGAUUGACGGNUGAGAGNGCGAGGNGCACGAGGGAGGAG